GAUGAACGCUAGCUACAGGCUUAACACAUGCAAGUCGAGGGGUAACAAGAGGAAAGCUUGCUUUCUUUGUUGACGACCGGCACACGGGUGAGUAACGCGUAUCCAACCUGCUUAUAACUAGGGAAUAACCUUGCGAAAGUAAGACUAAUACCCUAUGAUUUCCUUUGAUGACAUCAGAUUAGGAAUAAAGAUUUAUCGGUUAUAGAUGGGGAUGCGUCUGAUUAGCUUGUUGGCGGGGUAACGGCCCACCAAGGCAACGAUCAGUAGGGGUUCUGAGAGGAAGGUCCCCCACAUUGGAACUGAGACACGGUCCAAACUCCUACGGGAGGCAGCAGUGAGGAAUAUUGGUCAAUGGGCGGAAGCCUGAACCAGCCAAGUAGCGUGCAGGAUGACGGCCCUAUGGGUUGUAAACUGCUUUUAUACAGGAAUAAAGUUAGCCACGUGUGGUUAUUUGUAGGUACUGUAUGAAUAAGGACCGGCUAAUUCCGUGCCAGCCGCCGCUGUAA
rnacentral:rRNA from 1 species